GCGGAAAUAGCUCAGUGGUAGAGCACCACCUUGCCAAGGUGGGGGUCGCGGGUUCGAAUCCCGUUUUCCGCUCCA
rnacentral:tRNA from 4 species